GCUUUAAUAGUAUAANCAAUUACCUUGGUCUUGUAAACCAAAAAUGAAGUACCUCAACCUUCUUAAAGCA
rnacentral:tRNA from 1 species